rnacentral:rRNA from 1 species
UACCGUGAAACUGCGAAUGGCUCAUUAAAUCAGUUAUCGUUUAUUUGAUAGUACCUUACUACUUGGAUAACCGUGGUAAUUCUAGAGCUAAUACAUGCUGAAAACCCCAACUUCGGGAGGGGUGUAUUUAUUAGAUAAAAAACCAACGCCCUUCGGGGCUUCUUGGUGAUUCAUGAUAACUUCACGGAUCGCAUGGCCUUGCGCCGGCGACGGUUCAUUCAAAUUUCUGCCCUAUCAACUUUCGAUGGUAAGGUAUUGGCUUACCAUGGUUUCAACGGGUAACGGGGAAUUAGGGUUCGAUUCCGGAGAGGGAGCCUGAGAAACGGCUACCACAUCCAAGGAAGGCAGCAGGCGCGCAAAUUACCCAAUCCCGACACGGGGAGGUAGUGACAAUAAAUACUGAUACAGGGCUCUUUUGGGUCUUGUAAUUGGAAUGAGUACAAUUUAAACCUCUUAACGAGGAACAAUUGGAGGGCAAGUCUGGUGCCAGCAGCCGCGGUAAUUCCAGCUCCAAUAGCGUAUAUUAAAGUUGUUGCAGUUAAAAAGCUCGUAGUUGAAACUUGGGCCUGGCUGGCAGGUCCGCCUCACCGCGUGUACUUGUCCGGCCGGGCCUUUCCUUCUGGAGAACCUCAUGCCCUUCACUGGGUGUGUUGGGGAACCAGGACUUUUACUUUGAAAAAAUUAGAGUGUUCAAAGCAGGCCUUUGCUCGAAUACGUUAGCAUGGAAUAAUAGAAUAGGACGUGCGGUCCUAUUUUGUUGGUUUCUAGGACCGCCGUAAUGAUUAAUAGGGACAGUCGGGGGCAUCAGUAUUCAAUUGUCAGAGGUGAAAUUCUUGGAUUUAUUGAAGACUAACUACUGCGAAAGCAUUUGCCAAGGAUGUUUUCAUUAAUCAGUGAACGAAAGUUAGGGGAUCGAAGACGAUCAGAUACCGUCGUAGUCUUAACCGUAAACUAUGCCGACUAGGGAUCGGGCGAUGUUCUUUUUCUGACUCGCUCGGCACCUUACGAGAAAUCAAAGUUUUUGG